rnacentral:rRNA from 1 species
GACGGAGGAUGCAAGCGUUAUUCGGAAUGAUUGGGCGUAAAGCGUCUGCAGGUGGCAGUUCAAGUCUGCUGUCAAAGACCGGGGCUUAACUUCGGAAAGGCAGUGGAAACUGAACAGCUAGAGUAUGGUAGGGGCAGAGGGAAUUCCUGGUGUAGCGGUGAAAUGCGUAGAGAUCAGGAAGAACAUCGGUGGCGAAGGCGCUCUGCUGGACCAUAACUGACACUCAGGGACGAAAGCUAGGGGAGCGAAUGGG